UCUAUGCCACAUCACAGCGCAAGUGCCCAGUCUUGACUGACCUUGGAAGCUAAGCAGGGUUGGCCCAAGUUGGGACCUAGAUGAAAGACCAUGUAGGCAUCUGUGUGCAGAUACGU
rnacentral:rRNA from 1 species